UCUUGCAAACUAAAGAUGGCGACCGGCGCACGGGUGAGUAACACGUAUCCAACCUGCCGAUAACUCGGGGAUAGCCUUUCGAAAGAAAGAUUAAUAUCCGAUAGUAUAUUAAAACCGCAUGGUUUUACUAUUAAAGAAUUUCGGUUAUCGAUGGGGAUGCGUUCCAUUAGUUUGUUGGCGGGGUAACGGCCCACCUAGUCUUCGAUGGAUAGGGGUUCUGAGAGGAAGGUCCCCCACAUUGGAACUGAGACACGGUCCAA
rnacentral:rRNA from 1 species